rnacentral:rRNA from 1 species
CACGUAGGCGGAUAUUUAAGUCAGGGGUGAAAUCCCAGAGCUCAACUCUGGAACUGCCUUUGAUACUGGGUAUCUUGAGUAUGGAAGAGGUAAGUGGAAUUCCGAGUGUAGAGGUGAAAUUCGUAGAUAUUCGGAGGAACACCAGUGGCGAAGGCGGCUUACUGGUCCAUUACUGACGCUGAGGUGCGGAAGCGUGGGGAGCAAACA